rnacentral:rRNA from 1 species
CUACGUGGGGCAGCAGUGGGGAAUAUUGGACAAUGGGCGAAAGCCUGAUCCAGCCAUGCCGCGUGUGUGAAGAAGGCCUUCGGGUUGUAAAGCACUUUCAGUGGGGAAGAAAGCCUUGGGGCUAAUACCCUCGAGGAAGGACAUCACCCACAGAAGAAGCACCGGCUAACUCCGUGCCAGCAGCCGCGGUAAUACGGAGGGUGCGAGCGUUAAUCGGAAUUACUGGGCGUAAAGCGCGCGUAGGCGGUCUGAUAAGCCGGUUGUGAAAGCCCCGGGCUCAACCUGGGAACGGCAUCCGGAACUGUCAGGCUAGAGUGCAGGAGAGGAAGGUAGAAUUCCCGGUGUAGCGGUGAAAUGCGUAGAGAUCGGGAGGAAUACCAGUGGCGAAGGCGGCCUUCUGGACUGACACUGACGCUGAGGUGCGAAAGCGUGGGUAGCAAACAGGAUUAGAUACCCCGAGUAGUC